UUAACUCAAAUUUGUAUGGAGUUUGUCUUCGUUUGCCGCUAGGGGCGCUGUUCAAACUGCAUACAAACUUGAGUUA
rnacentral:pre_miRNA from 1 species